rnacentral:lncRNA from 1 species
UCAUUCAUACAUCCAAUCAUUCACGCAGACAAAGAAAUGUAAGCACACGCGCCUGCCCUGCAGUAGUGUGGCCCGGCACAAAGUAGCUGUAGUAGCUGGUACACAGUAAGCACAGUAAGCUGGUACACACAUAGCACGACCACCAGCAUCUCGAGAGGCCUUUUCAGCCGCCAGCUACUAAAUAAUGCAUGAACGUCACAUAGAGGAAGGUAGCAUAAUACGAGCCGUCAACGAUAGGACCAUCACCGCCAACCGGACUGUGUGAACCUGUCUCCAGUGCGUCACGCAGCACACUGACUGCCUUGACGCUUCCAGUUGAGGGAUCCAUGUCGAGGUCGGCCAACCUGUCUGUCAGUGAAUGGCGGUAAGUCAGCCACAAACCAGUCUGUACCUAAUUCCAGGUUGGAUAGAGCCUACUUGAGAGUGGCGCGCUGGUUCUGUUUGUCCUUGUAGUUGAGAUCCUGGGACGAGAUGUUGACAUGGGGCAUGCGCUUGCUCAGCGCGCGCAGUGCAGGGAAGCUGAUGAGGUAUGGCCCGAUCAUCAUCAUCUUCCGGGGGUUGAUGAGCUGGCGCCUGCAGCAUGUGUUACAGCGUCGACAUUGCUGAUCCUAUUUGGUACCAGUCAUUCGCCCGUGAACGCAUGGCCAUGCUCCUGGCUUUUAAUGUACCCCACAGCAGGCCCGCGUACCUUAGGCGCCAGCCAAUGUGCAUUUGGUCAAUGACAGGUUGGAGCACGGACACCCACGUCACUGCAAGGGGCAAUGUAAAAAGCUACCUCCUCCGGCUGGCGUUGUUGUCCUUUGACGCUGAGACCCCGGAUGAUACCCCGCAGCAACUGUUGAAUUGUGCCGUCAACGAGUCCUGAAUGUCAAUCGAUGUCCGAUGGUUAACAAGUCAAGGCAUGUGUACGCGCACGCCAGCCUACACUACUCACGCAUGCCGACACUGCAUCAUACCUCGUUGUUGUGAUGUUUCGAGCAGUCGGACCGAGCGUAUGCCUGUAGCCUCACUCUAUCAGCCUGGAAAAGGGAUGUCCGCCGCUUAAUCUCCCUGUCCAGCGCUAUUCGAUCUGCCCGCGGAUGUGACCGCCUUGAGCUCAACAUGUCCCA